AAGCCCCCCUGAGAGAAGUAAGGAAGAAGAUGGCGGCAGAAGGGAGUCGCACGGUGGGGAUCGGGAUGGACUACUCACCGACGAGCAAAGUGGCAGUCCGAUGGGCCGUCGACAACCUCGUCUGCGCCGGUGACCAUGUCGUGCUGAUCCAUGUCCUGUCCAAGUCUGAUCACCACACGGAGAAGCAGCUUUGGGAAGAACAUGGAUCACGUACGUCUCUCCCCUGCCCCGAUCUCCUCUCUCAUAUACAUCUAUGAACGAAAACUUCCUUGUGUUGACUCGUUUCAUCCUCCAGCUCUGAUUCCUCUUGGUGAAUUUGAGGACAUGAACCUGACGGUGCGAUAUGGGAUCAGCCCGGACGGCGAGGUCUUGGAUAUCCUGCACACUGCAUCCGAGACCAAAGGGGUAUUAUUGUUUACUCGUUCCGGUCCAUGAACAGCCGAGCAAAAUCCAGUCGAACGAUCUGCAGCUAUAACACACGGCUCAUCUUCCGCAGGUGAAAGUGGUCUCGAAGAUCUACUGGGGCGAUCCGAGGGAGAAGAUCUGUGAUGCAGUGGAGGAACUGAAGCUGGACUCACUCGUGGUCGGGAGCAGGGGCUUAGGAGCCAUUAAAAGGUAGAUUGCUCGCUUCUUCGUUUACAAGCUUUAAUCCUCUCCAAAUCUCUGAGCCGGUGAUCACUGAUGCAGAGUGCUGCUCGGGAGCGUUAGCAACUACGUCGUCGUCCACGCGACCUGCCCGGUCACGGUUGUGAAGUCGAAUGCCUGAUUCGCUGUGGCGUUCUCCCUAAGACAAACCUGUUUGCUUGCUUUGGUGGAUGAACAUUUAGCUCCUCAUGCUUUACUUGCUUUCUUUGGAGAAUAAGCUUCAGUGAGCAAAUAUUACCGAGUUAAUGGAUGUGUUUCUUGGAUUGUCUUAAUCGUAUUCAUCAUUCUCGUGCAAUACCAGAAUAGAAAUGCUACAGAAAUAUCCUUACAGAACUUAUUGGAAGCCUCAAUUCUUCGGGCUGCUGCCUUAAGCCCGGCAUCACAUAUAACGCCAAGAGAAGUAUGAUUGUUGUAUGCUUGCAACAAGUUGACUUUUUUGUUUGACUUGUAGACUUCUGGAGAAGCUGUCUGAU
rnacentral:lncRNA from 1 species